GUGGGGAAUCUUGCGCAAUGGGCGAAAGCCUGACGCAGCCAUGCCGCGUGAAUGAUGAAGGUCUUAGGAUUGUAAAAUUCUUUCACCGGGGACGAUAAUGACGGUACCCGGAGAAGAAGCCCCGGCUAACUUCGUGCCAGCAGCCGCGGUAAUACGAAGGGGGCUAGCGUUGCUCGGAAUUACUGGGCGUAAAGGGCGCGUAGGCGGACAGUUUAGUCAGAGGUGAAAGCCAAGGGCUCAACCUUGGAAUUGCCUUUGAUACUGGCUGUCUUGAGUACGGGAGAGGUGAGUGGAACUCCGAGUGUAGAGGUGAAAUUCGUAGAUAUUCGGAAGAACACCAGUGGCGAAGGCGACUCACUGGCCCGUUACUGACGCUGAGGCGCGAAAGCGUGGGGAGCAAACAGGAUUAGAAACCCUUGUAGUCC
rnacentral:rRNA from 1 species